rnacentral:lncRNA from 1 species
CCAGGUGACAUUGAGGGAUCUUCAGGUGACACUGAGGGACAUUGGGUGGCAUUUAUGGACCUUCAGGUGACAUUGAGGGACCUCCAGGUGACACUGAAGGACCUUCAGGUGACAUUGAGGGACAUUGGGUGACAUCUAUGGACAUUGGGUGACAUUUAUGGACCUCCUGAGGAACCUCCAGGUGGCAUUGAUGGACCUUCAGGUGACAUUGAGGGACAUUGGGUGACAUUGAUGGACCUUCAGGUGACAUUGAAGGACUUUGGGUGACAUUCAUGGACCUCCAGGUGGCAUUGAGGGACCUCCAGGUGGCAUUGAGGGACCUUGGGUGACAUUGAGGGACUUUCAGGUGGCAUUGAAGGACCUUCAGGUGACAUUGAUGGACUUUGGGUGGCACUGAGGAACCUCCUGAGGAACCUCCAGGUGACAUUGAUGGACCUCCAGGUGGCAUUGAAGGACCUUCAGGUGGCAUUGAUGGACCUUCAGGUGACAUUGAGGGACCUUCAGGUGACAUUUAUGGACCUUCAGGUGACAUUGAGGGACAUUGGGUGACAUUUAUGGACCUGCAGGUGACAUUUAUGGACCUCCAGGUGACAUUGAAGGACUUUGGGUGACAUUUAUGGACCUGCAGGUGACACUGAGGGACUUUGGGUGGCAUUGAAGGACCUUCAGGUGGCAUUGAUGGACCUCCAGGUGACAUUGAGGAACUUUGGGUGGCAUUGAGGGACCUUCAGGUGACGUUGAGGGACAUUGGGUGGCAUUUAUGGACCUCCAGGUGACAUUGAAGGACCUUCAGGUGACCCUCAAGGACAUUGGGUGGCACUGAGGAACCUCCUGAGGAACCUCCAGGUGACAUUGAGGGACCUCCAGGUGGCAUUGAGGAACCUCCAGGUGACAUUGAGGGACAUUGGGUGACAUUUAUGGACCUGC